UAUUUAUUCUUCUAACCGUCCAAGAUGAAUGACGCAACCUCUUUAUUGUUUUUCUUUGGUUUAGGGGUACAUUCAUAGAAUUCCGAAGUGGGAUGCUCAAUGUAUCUCCAAUCGGACGAAACUGCAGCCAAGAAGAAAGGGAUGAAUUCGAGAAGUAUGACAAGGUUCAGAAUAUUCGCCCGGAAAUGGUUUCUGUGCUUCGAGAAAAGUUUGCUCACCUGAAUUUAACGUUCUCCAUCGGAGGGAAAAUAAGCUUUGAUGUGAGUAAUGCACAUGGUUCGUGAUUAAACGUUUUAAAUUACCAAGAAUGAUGAAAGGAGUCGUCGAUUAUUUAUUGCUUCAUUUUGCUUGUAAUAGGUUUUCCCCCGGGGCUGGGACAAAACAUACCGCUUGAGAUAUCUUGAAGAUUUUCCAGAAAUCCACUUCUUUGGGGACAAAACAUACAAGGGAGGGAAUGAUCAUGAAAUUUAUGAAUCGAACAGAACAGUGGGACACACAGUUACAAGUCCUGAUGACACAGUGCAGCAGUGCAAAGCACUCUCCCUAAGCAACCCUUGAACGACACCAUUUUUCAUCUUGAUGUUAUCUAUUUGUGUCACGUAUUUUAAUAGAGGAAUAAGUGCCAAGCCGGAGCUUGCUCAAGUACGUAGUUUUUAUAUAUAGUUCUCGUCAAAUUGGUUAAAAUUUGCUUAUUCAGAACUU